rnacentral:rRNA from 1 species
GACGAACGCUGGCGGCGUGCUUAACACAUGCAAGUCGAACGGAAAGGCCCUGCUUUUGUGGGGUGCUCGAGUGGCGAACGGGUGAGUAACACGUGAGUAACCUGCCCUUGACUUUGGGAUAACUUCAGGAAACUGGGGCUAAUACCGGAUAGGAGCUCCUGCUGCAUGGUGGGGGUUGGAAAGUUUCGGCGGUUGGGGAUGGACUCGCGGCUUAUCGGCUUGUUGGUGGGGUAGUGGCUUACCAAGGCUUUGACGGGUAGCCGGCCUGAGAGGGUGACCGGCCACAUUGGGACUGAGAUACGGCCCAGACUCCUACGGGAGGCAGCAGUGGGGAAUAUUGCACAAUGGGGGGAAGCCUGAUGCAGCAACGCCGCGUGCGGGAUGACGGCCUUCGGGUUGUAAACCGCUUUCGCCUGUGACGAAGCGUGAGUGACGGUAAUGGGUAAAGAAGCACCGGCUAACUACGUG